UCUUCCUCCACCCCACCUCUCUCUGUCCCCCUCCAACCCCACCUCUCUCUGUCUGCCUCCAACCCCACCUCUCUCUCUAUAUCCCUCUGUCUCUCAGCUCUUUAGAGAUGUCUGAUAAUGGGGCCAGACAAGGGGAGAGACCACCAGCUAUAGAACCCACAAACUCUUCAGACCAUUCCAGUAAUGGCACCCCCCCCCCCCCCCCCCACACACACACACACACACCUGUGCCUAUAAACUGGACCUCUAAGCAGGGGAAGCAGGUGUGUCAUGAGGAUUGAGAGAGACUGCUACCACAGUGCCUUUUACAACUGCAGUGCACCCUGGGAUACAUGGAGGGCCUGGAAGACGUUCCCGGUAUAGACUGAGGGAGGGACAGACCUAGAACACAGACGGUUACCGGAGCAGCCUGACAGUACAGACUGUGUCUCUCUGAGAGGCCUGGAGAACCUGUGACAGGUGGGAGAUAAUGGAAUGAUCUUCACUGGCAAUCCAGCCUUCAGUGUCCCCAUAUGUCCCAUAAUAACUCUAUCCCUUCCUCUAACCAUGUCGAUCUCCCUGUUUUUAACUUUCCCCCACAUCUACACCUCUCUGAGACUCCCCCAUCUAUAAAGUGUUCACCCCACUCCCCAGUGUUCUCCUUCCGUUUUCUAGACUUGUGUAAUUAUUUAUUUCUCCAGCAGAGGGCGCAGCAUAUGAAAGUAAGGGGGACAACCAUGACCAUUAUUCAACAUUAAGUUGGUUCCACUAGUCAAGAGGGAGCCAUAGAGACAUGUCCAAGUUGAUUCAUGUAGUGACGUCAUUACUCCCAACUCUAGGCCAAACCUGUAUACACACACACACACACACACACACACACACACACACACAGGCCCUCAUAACUGUUUUUGGGCAAGGAAAGAAGUGCUCACUCUGUUUACCAUUUGUCUAAGACUGUGGUGUCCUUCCUGUCUGCUACUCUGUAUACUUUAAUAAACGUUUCAGUCAGAACUAGUUCAGUGAUGACAUGUGGAGGAGUCCGUAAGGAGAGCAUCAUUAAACACCUGACCGUGUGGUUAACCAGCCUGAUCUCCUGAGCUCACAUUCUGUUUCAAUUCAGUAAAAACUAAAUGUGAGCACAGUGAUGAGUCUGGUUUCAAAGGCUAGUGUGACUGACUGGUCAGAAAUGGUCUACUUUUCUGGGGACGCAACAACACACACCAGUGGUGUAUUCUCAUUAAUGUGAACCUAACACUCUCAAUCAUCAUAUUAAAUGUAACAUGACAGCUUUAAUCUGCCUCUGUCUUAUAACUGUAUCUAAGUGAAAGUAACUUUUGUAUAUUCUGCAGUUCUUCAGAUGGUAACUGUAGGUAUGAAUUUCAAUAAAUAAAGUCAAUGUUAUUUGGA